CUUCAUAUUCGUUCCUUAAGUUACUAACCCUAGCUAUAGCUUUGUAUGACGCCGCAAUACCCCAGUCCUCGCCUCCAAACCCUUCCUCCACUCCUUCUUCCUCCCUCUCCUCCCUAAGCUCCCUUCCUCCACCGCUGUCGCCGCUCCCUCCAUCGUCGACGACCAAUUCGAGUUCAUCUACCUCUCCUGGUUGAGUUUGGGAUCAGCCUGGAGGCAGGCGGGGCCGCCAACGUUGGGGAGGAAGAAGUAGAGAGGGUCGAUGAAGAGGGUGAGGAGGCUCGUAACAAGGAACACCCGGUUCCAAUAGGCCACGAUGUCGCUGUCGGGGUUCAGGAUCUGGUAAUGCCAUAGGAUCUGGAACGCGUGCUCCUCCUCUCUCGUUGUCACUGCCUUCGAUCAAGACCGAAGUCGUCGGAACUGGCGGAACUUCGACGCCGAUGUCGAUAAUAUUCUAUUUAUCUUCCAUGGCAGAUUCCAAGGGGACAGAUUCCGCGACUGAGAGAGGACGAGAACGAGAACAAUGGCAACGGGGUUUGGAUGGCUAGCUUUAGCGAGGUUUGGAUGGCUGGCUUUAGCAAAAUGUUCAAUGUCCAGAAGCAAAUUAUCCAACAUUUUUUUUAUGCAAUGCCCAUGUCGCGUACAAAAGUGUUCUUUGAGGAAACCUGUUUAGCAUCAAAAGAUGCUAUGCCUUUUGAUUUACUAAAGAAGAAGAUGUUUUCGAGAUUAAAUACAAUGGGGAUCAGAAUUAAGAAAACUUACGAAGAGGAAUGGUCUUAUAUCCCAGUUGGUGGAUCCCUACCGAACACAGAGCAAAAGAACCUUGCAUUUGGUGCAACUGCCAGCAUGGUGCAUCCAGCCACAGGGUACUCCGUUGUGAGAUCUUUGUCAGAAGCUCCAAAAUAUGUUUCAGUAAUUGCUUCUAUUUUGAAAGAUGAUCAUGCCAAGGACAUCAUUACUCAAAAAAGAAGAAAGGAGAAUCUAUCUAUGCAAGUACAAGUAUGCCAACCAUUCUAAUUCAAAAUAUAUGAAGACUAGGAAAGCUAUUUUGAAGUUCCAGUUGAUCAAUCAACGUGCAGAUUUUUCCUUUGGACUAUUUUCAGGAGGAUUAUCUAAUCCAAGACUUGUGGCAGUUUCCAAUUCCAUAUCAUUUGCAAAUCCUAAAGCACCUGUGUAUCCGCGCCUUGCUCUAGGAAAGUCUUGGGAUGAAAUGACAGUUACAUGGACAAGUGGAUAUGACAUAGAUGAAGGCCUUUUGUUGAAUGGGGUCCCAAAGGAAAAAAGCAAUGACAAUCUCCUGCUAGAACAUUGACAUUUAAUCGUAACAACAUGUGUGGUGAACCUACAAGAACUGUUGGCUAGCGUGACCCUGGUUUUAUACACACAAGUUUCCUAAAAGAACUUUGGCCAAAUUUGAGGUACACUUACAAGUUAGAGCAUAUGUUGUCUAACGGUUAGCGUGUGGAGUAAGAAGUUCUCGUUUAAGACAUCCCCAUAUCCUGGACAGAACUCUUUGCAACGUGCUAUCAUAUUUGGUGACAUGGGAAAGGUACGUGAUGGUUCAAAUUAAUAUGUUGAUUAUCAACCUGGUUCUCUCAACACCACAGACCAACUCAUAAAGGAUUUGGACUAUUACGACAUUGUUUUCCACAUAGGAGAUAUGCCUUAUGCAAAUGGAUACACCUCACAGUGAGACCAAUUCACAGCUCAAGUGCAAGAAAUUUCGUCAACAGUACCAUACAUAAUCGCAAGUGGAAAUCAUGACCGUGACUGGCCAAACACAGGAUCACUUUUUGAUACUCCAGAUUCAGGUGGAGAAUGUGGAGUUUUUGCAGAAACCAUGUAUUAUUUUCCUGCUGAGAAUAGAGCCAAAUUCUGGUAUAAGGCAGAUUAUGGCCUGUUUCGUUUCUGUGUAGCAGAUAGUGAGCACGACUGGAGAGAAGGAUCAGAACAAUACAAAUUCAUUGAGCAUUGUCUUGCAACUAUAGAUAGAAAGCAUCAACCAUGGCUAAUCUUUUCGGCUCAUCGUCCCCUUGACUACUCAUCUAAUGAUUGGUAUGGCAAGGAAGGCUCAUUUGAAGAGCCAAUGGGAAGGGAAAGUUUGCAGAAGCUUUGGCAAAAGUACAAAGUAGAAAUUCCAUUUUAUGGUCACGUCCAUAACUAUGAAAGAAUGUGCCCCAUUUAUCAGAAUCAAUGUGUGAAUCAAGAAAAGCAUCAAUUACUCUGGCACUGUGAACGGAACAAUUCAUGUGGUUGUUGGUGGUGGGGGAAGUCACUUGUCAGACUUCACACCAACACCCCCUAUUUGGAGUCUUUACAGGGAUCUCUCGACUAUGGGUUUGGCAAAUUGACUGGCAUUCAAUCAUUCAUAUCUCUUGUUUGAGUACAAGAGAAGUAGUGAUGGAAAGGUCUAUGAUUCCUUUACCAUUUCAAGAGACUACAGAGAUGUUUUGGCCUGUGUGCACGAUGGUUGUGAGAAAACCACUCUAGCAACCUGAGUUAUGUCUCUGUGUAGACCCGAUAUGAACUUGAAGUGAAAUAAAAUGUCCAAAUAAAUAAACGUUAGUUUGUUUACUUUCCAGGCAAGAUUUAGGAACCACGGAUAUAGAUACAUAUCAAAGAUGACAUGAUUCUGAUUAUGUGAACAAUGUGAAUUCUAAAAACUAUGUCACUGCAUGGCUAAGCAUUGUUGUUAAA